UGCGUAGGCGGUUUGGCAAGUCUUGUGUGAAAUCUUCGGGCUCAACCCGAAGCCUGCAUAAGAAACUGCCGGGCUUGAGUAUUGGAGAGGUGAGUGGAAUUUCCGGUGUAGCGGUGAAAUGCGUAGAUAUCGGAAGGAACACCUGUGGCGAAAGCGGCUCACUGGACAAUAACUGACGCUGAGGCACGAAAGCUAGGGGAGCAAACA
rnacentral:rRNA from 1 species